rnacentral:rRNA from 1 species
UGACUGUACCCUAAGAAUAAGGUCCGGCUAACUUCGUGCCAGCAGCCGCGGUAAUACGAAGGGACCUAGCGUAGUUCGGAAUUACUGGGCGUAAAGCGCGCGUAGGCCGUUGAGUUAGUUAAUUGUGAAAUCCCAAAGCUUAACUUUGGAACUGCAAUUAAAACUGCUCGACUGGAGUUUGAUAGAGGAAAGCGGAAUACAUAGUGUAGAGGUGAAAUUCGUAGAUAUUAUGUAGAACACCAGUUGCGAAGGCGGCUUUCUGGAUCAACACUGACGCUGAGGCGCGAAAGUAUGGGUAGCAAAGAGGAUUAGAUACCCUCGUAGUCCAUACCAUAAACGAUGAUUGCUAGAUGUUGGAAAUUUAUUUUCAGUAUCGCAGCUAACGCAUUAAGCAAUCCGCCUGGGGAGUACGACCGCAAGGUUAAAACUCAAAUGAAUUGACGGGGACCCGCACAAGCGGUGGAGCAUGUGGUUUAAUUCGAAGAUACGCGCAGAACCUUACCAACCCUUGACAUGUCUGUCGCGAGUUUAGGAAACUAGACUUUUCGGUUCGGCCGGACAGAACACAGGUGCUGCAUGGCUGUCGUCAGC